rnacentral:lncRNA from 1 species
GUUGGUAAUGUUGUGUUGAGUUGUAGCAGGUUGGUAAUGUUGUGUUGAGUUGUAGCAGGUCGGUAAUGUUGUGUUGAGUUGUAGCAGGUCGGUAAUGUUGUGUUUAGUUGUACAGGUUGAUAAUGUUGUAGCAGGUUGAUAAUGUUGUAUUUAGUUGUAGCAGGUUGGUAAUGUUGUGUUGAGUUGUAGCAGGUUGGUAAUGUUGUGUUGAGUUGUAGCAGGUUGGUAAUGUUGUGUUGAGUUGUAGCAGGUUGGUAAUGUUGUGUUUAGUUGUGCAGGUUGGUAAUGUUGUAGCAGGUUGGUAAUGUUGUGUUUAGUUGUAGCAGGUUGGUAAUGUUGUGUUUAGUUGUAGCAGGUUGGUAAUGUUGUAGCAGGUUGGUAAUGUUGUGUUGAGUUGUAGCAGGUUGGUAAUGUUGUGUUUAGUUGUAGCAGGUUGAUAAUGUUGUGUUUAGUUGUAUAGGUUGAUAAUGUUGUGUUGAGUUGUAGCAGGUUGGUAAUGUUGUGUUUAGUUGUAGCAGGUUGGUAAUGUUGUGUUGAGUUGUAGCAGGUUGGUAAUGAUGUGUUUAGUUGUAGCAGGUUGGUAAUGUUGUAGCAGGUUGGUAAUGUUGUGUUGAGUUGUAGCAUGUUGGUAAUGUUGUGU